CAUAUAGAGUGCAAGCCAGUAGUAGAUUUAUUAAAAAUAGUUGAUAAAUGGCUGUUGAUAGAAAAUUAGGAUAAAAAAUUUCGCAAAUUUCUAACCUAAAGAUUUACAUCGCAAUUUGUGCUCCGGCAAUCCCAACUCUUUCUACUCCAGCUCCGAAGAUUCCUUUCCCCCAUCUCCGGCAAGCCUAUGGGACUAGCAGCAGCCUGACAAGUUAGUGUUUAGUGUGUCAGGUUGGUAAGGUGGGAGGAGGAAGAUGGGGAAAACCACCAGGCUUACGGGGAUGACCAUGAGAGGCAACGGCUUGGCGGUAUGCAAUGGACACGGACAGGUGACAAGGCAUUAGUGGUUGCACUGGAGCCGUGGGAAUGAAGGAGGGUUUGGGCCAUCGUUGGGGCGUGGACAAACCGGAGCAUGUGUUUAUAAGAAUUAGGCGGUGGCAGCGGAUCCAGUGGCAGGGAACCAUUGGAGAAGGGGAAAACGAAGGGGCGGCAGAAGCGACGAAGGCCGACCAAGAAGGCCUUCACUACUAGAAAUCCCAACAUUAAUGACCAGCAGAAAAUUGUAAUCCUCGUUAUCCUCUGAAUACGAGUGGUGAGGAGCUGAUUUUCUAAUCCGACGACCACUAAAUAGCUCGUCGUUAAAAUUUGCUGCUACACGGUCAUUAAAAUUGACGUGAAGGAGGCCCAUGACUCCACAAAACCACCACCAUCCAUCCCAAGCACCAGCAGCCCAACCCACUACACAAGCCACCGAGGGUUUAGGGAGACCUCCUCCAAUCCGUGACGGUAGCCGCCGCCUACCCCAACUGCGUCGCUGGCUGCCUACCUCCUGCCGCGCCUGCACUGCCGGCCGUCGCCUCUAGUUCCACCUGCGCCAUCUAGCCGCCACCACUGCGCAAGUGAGCACAAGUGAGGCUGGGCGCUGCAGGGGUGCACCUCGCCGUCGAGGGGAUCAGAGGCCGGCUGGAUCUUUUGAUCUGCCCAUGUCGACCCGAUGACCCCAACAUCAUCUCCACGUCACCACCUAUUCUCCUCGCUAGUCGCCGCCCUAAUUGGGAGGUGUUGCACGGCAAAAACUGACGCACAGGGCUUGUCAGCAGUUACUAGAUUAUUGUCUGGUAGCAUCGUAAUUUUUUCGGAGACAUCUUGAUGUACUAAAGGAUUUCAAGAGAAUGUUUUUUUUAUGAGAACUCGAGAUAAUUGAAUAGCAAUGGAGAGGCAGCUUGAUCUGGCAAGAACUGACGGGUGCAGUACUACACAAGACAGUAACCUCUUUUUUAUGCCUUUUUCCAUUCAACAAAAUUCAUGUUACAUAACCGAUUGAAUGAUCUUGGACACAAAUAAUGGGAGCAUCAUUUUGUUCUCAGAUUAUUCUAUUGGUUAUAUAUUUUGACAUUUUCAGUUCAAAUCUAUUUUAGUAGGAACCAAGAUGAAUACACUCCAUUGGCCUGACUAAAUUAUAGUCAGGUAGUAUUCCAAGUUUUCAUUAGUUCCUACAAGAUCGGUCAUUGAUGGGCUUGAUUUUUUGCCCGCAAGGCCACAACAAGUUGGAUGCAACACAAGAGCUAUUUCCAUAUCUGUAAAGCUAUUGCUGACACACUAUCUAAAUUGGAAUCAUAUGAAACUAGAUGGUGACAAAGCAUUCCUCAUUCCUUAAACAAAAUUUCUGGAUCAAUGGUGAGACAGAUGAGACUGGUGCAUCUGAAGACAAUACCUGCGAAUGUUGAUGGGAUCAUCAUCGUAUAACAAAGGAAUUUGUCCACUACACCUCCAAGCACAUACUUAUAGAUCGAGUGUUUAAUUUUGAUAGACAUCAAGAUGUUGGUUCUGUUUGAAUGACUUAAUUAUUUAGCUGGAUGCGGUGAACAAAUUUUUAUUAUGUAUUGCAAUGAAUAAAUGUGGUUGAUUGUCUACAAUUGGUCAGAAC